rnacentral:rRNA from 1 species
UACGUAGGUGGCAAGCGUUGUCCGGAAUUAUUGGGCGUAAAGCGCGCGCAGGCGGUCCUUUAAGUCUGAUGUGAAAGCCCACGGCUCAACCGUGGAGGGUCAUUGGAAACUGGGGGACUUGAGUACAGAAGAGAAGAGUGGAAUUCCACGUGUAGCGGUGAAAUGCGUAGAGAUGUGGAGGAACACCAGUGGCGAAGGCGACUCACUGGACAUGUAUUGACGCUGAGGUGCGAAAGCGUGGGGAGCAAACAGG